rnacentral:lncRNA from 1 species
CGAGGAGUGGCAUUGCCUGGACACUGCACAGUGGAAUUUAUAUAAGGAUGUGAUGUUAGAGAACUACAGAAACCUGUUCUUCCUUGGUAUUGUUGUCUCUAAGCCAGACCUGAUGACCUGUCUGGAACAAGGGAAAAAACCUUUGACUACGAAGAGACAUAAGAUGAUUGCCAGACCCCCAGUUAUAUGUUCUCAUUUUGCCCAAGAUCUUUGGCCAGAGCAGAGCAUAAAAGAUUCUUUCCAAAAAGUGAUACUGAGAAGAUAUGAAAAAUGUGGACAUGACAAUUUACAGUUUAAAAAAAGCUGUAAAAGUGUGGAUGAGUGUAAGGUGCACAAAAGCGGUUAUAAUGGACUUAACCAAUGUUUGACAACUACCCAGAGAAAAAUAUUUCAAUGUGAUAAAUAUGUGAAAGUCUCUCAUAAAUUUUCAAAGUCAAACAGACAUAAGACAUACUGGAAAAAAAACUUUUAAAUGUAAAGAAUGAGGCAAAGCUUUUAACCAGUCCUCAACCCUUACUACACAUAAGAAAGUUCAUACUGGAGAGAAACGCUACAGAUGUGAAGAAUCUGGCAAAGCCUUUAAGCUGCCUCUAACCUUACUACACAUAAGAUAAUUCACACUGGAGAGAAACCCUACAGAUGUAGAGAACGUGGCAAAGCUUUUAACCACCCCUCACCCCUUUUUUCACAUAAGAAAAUUCUUAUUGGAGAGAAACCAUACAAGUGUGUUAAAUGUGGCAAAGCCUUCAUUUCAUCCUCAACCCUUAUUAAACAUGAGAUAAUUCAUAGAAACUCUACAAAUGUGAAGAAUGUGGCAAAAUUUUAACUGUUCCUCAAACCCUACUAAACAUAAGAUAAUUCAUACUGGAGAUAUACCCUACAAAUGUGAUCAAUGUGGCAAAACCUUCACCUGGUUUAGUCAAGCCUCACUAAACAUAAGAGAACUCAUACUAGAGAGAAACCUUACAAAUGUGAAGAAUGUGGCAAAGCUUUUAACUGGUCCUCAGCCCUUAAUAAACAUAAAAUAAUUCAUAUUGCACAGGAAACCUACAGAGUCAAUAAUGUGGCAAAUCUUUUAAAUGUUCCUCAACCCUUAAUAAGCAUAAGAUAAUUUAUACUGGAGAGAAACCCUAUAAAUGUGAUGAAUGUGGGAAAACCUUUAACCAGCCCUCAACUCUUAGUAAAUAUGAGAAUUUAUAUGGAACAUAAACCCUACAAAUAUAAAGAAUGUGACAAAGCUUUUUAAGGAAGUUCUCAACCCUUAUUACACAUAAUUCAUACUGGACAGAAACUCUACAAGUGUAAAGAACGUGGCAAAGCCUACAACAAAUUCUCAAUUCUUUUUUUUUCUUCUUUUUUUGAGACAGAGUUUUGCUCUUAUCACCCAGGUUGGAGGGCAAUGGCAUGAUUUCACCUCACUGCAACCUCCGCCUCCUGGGUUCAAGCCAUUCUCCUGCCUCGGCCUCCCAAGUAGCUGGGAUUGCAGGUGCCCACCACUAUGCCUGGCUAAUUUUUGUGUUUUUAGUAGAGAGGGGGUUUCACCUUGUUGGCCGUGCUAGUCUCAAACUCCUGACCUCAGAUGAUCCACUUGCCUCAGUCUCCUAAAGUGCUGGGAUUACAGGCAUGAGCCACCAUGCCUAGUCAUAAGUUCUCAAUUCUUAAGAGACAAACGAUAAUUCAUGCUGAAAAGGAACUCUACAAACCUGAAAGAUGUGACAGUACUUGUACAAACACCUCCAACUUUGCAAUACAUUAAAAAAAAAAGUUAUACUAGUGUGAAACCCUAGAAAUGUAUAAAACGUGACAAAGCCUUUAUAUGGUUGCCACACUUGAUUGUAGGUAAGAUAAUUCAUACUGGCAAAACUCCUACAAGUAUAAAGAAUGUGGCAAAACUUUUAAUCUGUGCUUACACCUUAUUUCACAGGAAAGCUAUUACCCUUGAGAAAAAUUG